UACGUAGGGUGCAAGCGUUGUCCGGAAUUAUUGGGCGUAAAGAGCUCGUAGGCGGUCUGUCGCGUCUGCUGUGAAAACUCAGGGCUUAACCCUGAGCUUGCAGUGGGUACGGGCAGACUAGAGUGCGGUAGGGGAGACUGGAAUUCCUGGUGUAGCGGUGAAAUGCGCAGAUAUCAGGAGGGAACACCCGGUGGCGAAAGGCGGGUCUCUGG
rnacentral:rRNA from 1 species